rnacentral:rRNA from 1 species
AACGAACGCUGGCGGCAGGCCUAACACAUGCAAGUCGAGCGAAGUCUUCGGACUUAGCGGCGAACGGGUGAGUAACGCGUGGGAAUGUACCUCUAGGUGCGGAACAACAACUGGAAACGGUUGCUAAUACCGCAUGAUGUCUUCGGACCAAAGAUUUAUCGCCUAGAGAUCGGCCCGCGUUGGAUUAGGUAGUUGGUGAGGUCAAAGCUCACCAAGCCGACGAUCCAUAGCUGGUUUGAGAGGAUGAUCAGCCACACUGGGACUGAGACACGGCCCAGACUCCUACGGGAGGCAGCAGUGGGGAAUCUUGGACAAUGGGGGAAACCCUGAUCCAGCCAUGCCGCGUGAACGAUGAAGGCCUUAGGGUUGUAAAGUUCUUUCACCGGUGACGAUAAUGACGGUAGCCGGAGAAGAAGCCCCGGCUAACUCCGUGCCAGCAGCCGCGGUAA